rnacentral:rRNA from 1 species
UACGGAGGGAGCUAGCGUUGUUCGGAAUUACUGGGCGUAAAGCGCACGUAGGCGGCUUUGUAAGUUAGAGGUGAAAGCCCGGAGCUCAACUCCGGAACUGCCUUUAAGACUGCAUCGCUUGAAUCCAGGAGAGGUGAGUGGAAUUCCGAGUGUAGAGGUGAAAUUCGUAGAUAUUCGGAAGAACACCAGUGGCGAAGGCGGCUCACUGGACUGGUAUUGACGCUGAGGUGGCGAAAGCGUGGGGAGCAAACAGG